rnacentral:hammerhead_ribozyme from 1 species
AUCCAGUUGACGAGCCUAAAAUAAAACGAAACUCAUGUCCUGGAU